CUGUGUGUAGCUCAGCUGGUAGAGCGGUACCAAAAAGUGCGUGCGCUGGUUCGAUUCCAGUCACUCAAG
rnacentral:tRNA from 1 species